GAUGAACGCUGGCGGCGUGCCUAAUACAUGCAAGUCGAGCGAACGGACGAGAAGCUUGCUUCUCUGAUGUUAGCGGCGGACGGGUGAGUAACACGUGGAUAACCUACCUAUAAGACUGGGAUAACUUCGGGAAACCGUAGCUAAUACCGGAUAAUAUUUUGAACCGCAUGGUUCAAAAGUGAAAGACGGUCUUGCUGUCACUUAUAGAUGGAUCCGCGUUGCAUUAGCUAGUUGGUAAGGUAACGGCUUACCAAGGCAACGAUGCAUAGCCGACCUGAGAGGGUGAUCGGCCACACUGGAACUGAGACACGGUCCAGAAUCCUAAGGGAGGCAGCAGUAGGGAAUCUUCCGCAAUGGGCGAAAGCCUGACGGAGCAAAGCCGCGUGAGUGAUGAAGGUCUUCGGAUCGUAAAACUCUGUUAAUAGGGAAGAACAUAUGUGUAAGUAACUGUGCACAUCUUGACGGUACCUAAUCAGAAAGCCACGGCUAACUACGUG
rnacentral:rRNA from 1 species